GCUCAGGAUGAACGCUGGCGGCGUGCCUAAUACAUGCAAGUCGAGCGAACAGAAGGGAGCUUGCUCCCGGAUGUUAGCGGCGGACGGGUGAGUAACACGUGGGUAACCUGCCUGUAAGACUGGGAUAACUCCGGGAAACCGGAGCUAAUACCGGAUAGUUCCUUGAACUGCAUGGUUCAAGGAUGAAAGACGGUUUCGGCUGUCACUUACAGAUGGACCCGCGGCGCAUUAGCUAGUUGGUGGGGUAAUGGCUCACCAAGGCGACGAUGCGUAGCCGACCUGAGAGGGUGAUCGGCCACACUGGGACUGAGACACGGCCCAGACUCCUACGGGAGGCAGCAGUAGGGAAUCUUCCGCAAUGGACGAAAGUCUGACGGAGCAACGCCGCGUGAGUGAUGAAGGUUUUCGGAUCGUAAAGCUCUGUUGUUAGGGAAGAACAAGUGCGAGAGUAACUGCUCGCACCUUGACGG
rnacentral:rRNA from 1 species